ensembl:miRNA
UUGGACUUCGGUGUUACCAUAAAGGAAUAUAUACUUAUGAUAACACCGAAGUCCGAAU